CAGAGGGUGCGAGCGUUGUCCGGAAUCACUGGGCGUAAAGGGCGCGUAGGCGGCUUCUCACGCGUGCGGUGAAAGCUCGGGGCUUAACUCCGAGUCUGCCGUGCGAACGGGGAGGCUUGAGUCUGGUAGAGGUCGAUGGAAUUCCGGGCGUAGCGGUGGAAUGCGUAGAGAUCCGGAAGAACACCGGUGGCGAAGGCGGUCGACUGGGCCAGUACUGACGCUGAGGCGCGACAGCGUGGGGAGCAAACAGGAUUAGAUACCCUGGUAGUCCACGCCGUAAACGAUGGGCACUAGAUCCUUGGGGGAGCGACCCCUUGAGGGUCGGCGCUAACGCAUUAAGUGCCCCGCCUGGGGAGUACGGCCGCAAGGCUG
rnacentral:rRNA from 1 species